rnacentral:misc_RNA from 1 species
UACAGAGGGGGCGAGCGUUAAUCGGAUUUACUGGGCGUAAAGCGUGCGUAGGCGGCUUUUUAAGUCGGAUGUGAAAUCUCCGGGCUUAACUGGGGAAUUGCAUUCGAUACUGGGAAGCUUGAGUAUGGGAGAGGAUGGUAGAAUUCCAGGUGUAGCGGUGAAAUGCGUAGAAAUCUGGAGGAAUACCGAUGGUGAAGACAGCCAUCUGGCCUAAUACUGACGCUGAGGUACGAAAGCAUGGGGAGCAAACAGG